rnacentral:lncRNA from 1 species
ACCUCCCUAGUAAGAGUACAGGAUAUCAACCGCAGUCACUGAGCUCCAGGUUGCUUCGGGGCUUUGAGUCUUAUCAUAUCUUUUUGCAUUGUAUAGUAUCUUAUCAUGAGGCGGGGCCUGUCCCGACCCUUAUAAGAUAAUGUUUCUUGUCUAGAGGCCUUGUAGACUACGUAAAGUAUAGUAUGGUCAUGUAUCGUAUCGUAGACAUUGUGGCUCCAA